rnacentral:rRNA from 1 species
GAUAAGGGAACCUCGAGUGCCAGGUUACAAAUCUGGCUGUCGUGAUGCCUAAAAAGCAUUAUAUAGCAAGGGCCGGGCAAGACCGGUGCCAGCCGCCGCGGUAACACCGGCGGCUCGAGUGGUAACCGUUAUUAUUGGGUCUAAAGGGUCUGUAGCCGGCCGGAUAAGUCUCUUGGGAAAUCUGGCAGCUCAACUGUCAGGCUUUCAGGGGAUACUGUCUGGCUCGAGGCCGGGAGAGGUGAGAGGUACUUCAGGGGUAGGGGUGAAAUCUUGUAAUCCUUGAAGGACCCCCAGUGGCGAAGGCGUCU